rnacentral:rRNA from 1 species
GACAGAGGGUGCGAACGUUGUUCGGAAUUACUGGGCGUAAAGAGCUCGUAGGCGGCUCGGUAAGUCGGGUGUGAAAACUCUAGGCUCAACCUAGAGACGCCACCCGAUACUGCUGUGGCUAGAGUCCGGUAGGGGAGCAUGGAAUUCCUGGUGUAGCAGUGAAAUGCGUAGAUAUCGUGAGGAACACCAGAGGCGAAGGCGGCUACCUGGACAAUUGCUGACGCUCAGGCACGAAAGCGUGGGGAGCAAAAGGG